GUAAGGAGUUACGACUUGGUUACCGCAAGUGUUCGAUGUGGGCGGACAAUGCUCAUGGCCUAUGAUGAGUACAUGUAUAAGAGUAGUGGACAGAAGUGAUUUCUGAGCACGUUUUAAUCUGAGGUUUGCUCCUCUUAAACGUGUGACUUGGAUCUCCCUGCACUUGAGUAAUGCCUUUCUUCUUUUUGGUAGCAUCAGCCCACAGUUGGACAUGGGUCCUCCGCAUAAAGGUACAAAAUUAUAUUGAGCUGCUUUUAUCUCAAGAAAUGAUUGUUCUGUGCUGCAAUGAUGACUUUAAUUUGCUACUCUUGAGAAAUUAUGACGAUAACCUAACCACACUUUGUGUACCUGAGGCACAGUGAUUAUGCUUAAAUCCAAUCUGCAAUCUAAAAUGAAUGCCACAUUGACUUUUUUUACCCCCUUUCCUGAAGGUACAAAAUUGGCAUCAGCUGUCACACUGGUUGCAGCCCUGAUUCACAAGGGGUAAUUGCAGGAUUAACAGCAUGCCCAACUGGUUCAAGGAGAUCACCAUGGGUUCCUAAGUAAGGCAGCCUGUGGUGGAUGCCUCUGGAUCACCAUUUACGGUUGGUAUUGAGUUGAUGCAGUUGUACUGCAUCUUAGCAAUACAGUGAUGACUGCAUAGUUCAGCUGAUGUCCUUUGAUUCAGAGCAUUGUCUUUCGCUCCUAGCUGAUGUAUUGAUGUGCUAGUGGCAUGUUGGUGUUAAUAGAUUGAAGCUGGUCUAAUGUGGUGGUCUCUUGUGUAGGACCUGGUGAAGGAGCUCUUGGAAUGAAGCCCCCCUGAGCCUUUUGGUGGUUGAUGCCUCAGCCAUGUCUUCAGUUCCUGCACCAUUCGCCCUCUAGGGAGUGCAGAUGGGAGUUGACCAGGGGCUGUGAAUGAGGAAGGUGUCUGCUCUGAGUCCUGGUGUGCGGUAUCUCCACCUUGUCGUUUUCCUCAUGUUGCAGGUCUGUAUGAACACUAUCCUAGAGGAAACGUGUCUUUGGGUUUCUAUGAUGACUUUUUACCCUAAUGCCUUUGAAUUAAAUGUGAACAAUAUUCAAACUGAGUUGCCCUCAACGGUGGCUUUGGAGAGAUUUACUGUCUAACUAACCUAACCAUAGUGCUUAUAUCUGUUACAGCGUCUGAAUCCUGGUGUGCGGUAUCUCCACCUUGCCGUUUUCCUCAUGUUGCAGGUUUGUGUGAACACUAUCCUAGAGGAAACGUGUCUUUGGGUUUCUGUGAUGACUUUUUACCCUAAUGCCUAUUGAAUUUCUAAAUGUGAACAAUCUCCAAACUGAGUUGCCCUCAACGGUGGCCUUGGUGAGACUAACUGUCUAACUAACCUAACCAUGGUCCUUAUAUCUGUUACAGGGUCCUGGAGGCUUUGGAAGACUGAGCCCAGGGUAAGCACAUUUACUAUUUUUGUAUUCUGUAUGCCAAUCUGUGAUGUAAAGAUUCUGCCAAAUGAUCCAGCUGAUUAUACCCCUUCCGUUCCAUUUUCUUCUGAGGUUGGCUAUGCUUCUGUGUGGUCUGUCUGACCUGAAUUUUUAAAUGUUGCAUUCAAACUGAGUUGCCCUCGACGCUUGCCUUGGUGAAUGUCUAACCCGAUCAUGGUUCUCUUCUGUUACCGAGUCCCGGAGGCUUUUGAAGACUGAGCCCAGGGUAAGCAAAGUUAUUUGAUGUAAAGAUUCUGCCAAAUGAUCCAGCUGAUUAUACCCCUUCCGUUCCAUUUUCUUCUAAGGUUGGCUAUACUUCCCUGUGGUCUGUGCUGGAUGGAUUGCAAGUUGUAUUAAACAAUGUAUUCUCAUUGCCAGGUGCUGUGGACAUUGUUGCUGUUGAAAAUGAGCAUCAGCAUUGGCCUGAACGUUUGACAUUCUGGUGUGAAACGCCCAGACUCUUUAUUAAAUAAAAACAUUUUAACUUACCCUUAUCUUGUGUUUUCAUUCAAUUUAG
ensembl:lncRNA